AAGAUCAUACUUCACAGGAUCAUUUCUGUAGUAUAUCUUGACGAGUUUCCCACCAGAAACUUGUCCCCUACACACCCACGAUGACGAGUGACGACGUUGGCUUCUGAGCGUGAAAUGGGUCGUGAGUGUAACUACUCCGGUGGUAUCUACUCACGGCCAUUGAGGACCGUUUCCUUUGAUCGAACGUGAAGUACAGGAAGGAAGUCAGCGUGUACAGAGUGGU